rnacentral:rRNA from 1 species
UACGGAGGGUGCAAGCGUUAUCCGGAUUCACUGGGUUUAAAGGGUGCGUAGGUGGAAUGGUAAGUCAGUGGUGAAAUCUCCAAGCUUAACUUGGAAACUGCCGUUGAUACUAUCAUUCUUGAAUAUCGUGGAGGUGAGCGGAAUAUGUCAUGUAGCGGUGAAAUGCUUAGAUAUGACAUAGAACACCGAUUGCGAAGGCAGCUCACUACACGAUCAUUGACACUGAGGCACGAAAGCGUGGGGAGCAAACAGG